rnacentral:rRNA from 1 species
AACGAACGCUGGCGGCAUGCCUAACACAUGCAAGUCGAACGAGACCUUCGGGUCUAGUGGCGCACGGGUGCGUAACGCGUGGGAACCUGCCUUUAGGUUCGGAAUAACUCAGAGAAAUUUGAGCUAAUAGCGGAUGAUGUCUUCGGACCAAAGAUUUAUCGCCUUUAGAUGGGCCCGCGUUGGAUUAGCUAGUUGGUGGGGUAAAGGCCUACCAAGGCGACGAUCCAUAGCUGGUCUGAGAGGAUGAUCAGCCACACUGGGACUGAGACACGGCCCAGACUCCUACGGGAGGCAGCAGUGGGGAAUAUUGGGCAAUGGGCGAAAGCCUGAUCCAGCAAUGCCGCGUGAGUGAUGAAGGCCUUAGGGUUGUAAAGCUCUUUUACCCGAGAUGAUAAUGACAGUAUCGGGAGAAUAAGCUCCGGCUAACUCCGUG